UGAAAUGAGUGUCCAAGUUGAUAGUUCUAAGCUGCGAUACGAUGGAAUUCUACUCAAAAACGUUAGUCAAGCCUUGUUAUCAAUCAAUCCGACUCUUAUGCUCAACCUACACAUGUUUUCAAAUCUACCAAUCCCUUUACCAUUCAUUAGUUCUGGAACGUUAAUCAAGCAAUGCAUCAUCAAUGAACUCAUUUGGCUUAAGGUACAGGUCAAGAGACAAAGAUGGUCCCUUACAGAAUAGGCUUUAGUAACAGGGGAUCUCUCAAAAAAUGAUUAAGCUUUAGUAGAAUGCUAAGGUAAGUCCCAAGCUAUGCAUACAGAGAUAAGAUCCCAUCUACUUGACCAGGGGGUCAAGUGGUUUGUUGAAGUCGUGGAAUUAUCUACUCAACCAGGGGGUCGAGUGUUUUGCAGUGAUCAACUCCGCUUCUUUCAAGUAGCUCGCCAAUAGCUCCGAAUCACCUGAAAACAACACAAAUAUGCAACAUGCAUGCAAAAUUAUCCUAAACAUGCAAAGUGAUGACAAAUGAUAUAAAACAGUGAUGAUAUGAUGCUAAAGUGAUGACAAAUGAAUGCUCAAA
rnacentral:sRNA from 1 species